rnacentral:lncRNA from 1 species
CUUCUGAGUGCCUAGAGCCAGGGAGUCCUCGCUACAACCCUGCCAGCAGCCCCUCAGUGCUACACAGAAGAAAGCAAUCACAGAAAUUACAUCUACUGGUUCUCUAUGGAACAUUGCCCAGCUCCCUGGAGGGUAAGGGGACCUUUCACGAUGAGAACUGGCUGAGAAUGUCUGUUUGCAAUUCAUCAUGACCUGGAGGAAUGGAGCAAAAGAGCAGAGCCCUGAGGGACAAAUCCUCAGAAUAAAACAAUCUGCCCUCUAAAGAACAGAAUUGUCUUUAGGAGAAAGCUCAAGAAAUAGAAGAGACAACCUCACUGACCCUUCCAGGAGCUUCACUUUCGGAAAGGGAUGG